rnacentral:rRNA from 1 species
CCUACGGGAGGCAGCAGUGGGGAAUAUUGCACAAUGGGGGAAACCCUGAUGCAGCGACGCCGCGUGAGCGAAGAAGUAUUUCGGUAUGUAAAGCUCUAUCAGCAGGGAAGAAAAUGACGUUACCUGAGUAAGAAGCUCUGGCUAAAUACGUGCCAGCAGCCGCGGUAAUACGUAUGGAGCAAGCGUUAUCCGGAUUUACUGGGUGUAAAGGGAGCGUAGGCGGGCUGCCAAGUCUGAUGUGAAAUACCGGGGGUCAACGCCGGGGCUGCAUUGGAGACUGGAAGGCGGGAGUGCCGGAGAGGCAGGCGGAAUUCCGAGUGUAGCGGUGAAAGGCGGAGAGAUUAGGAGGAACACCAGUGGCGAAGGCGGCCUGCUGGACGGUGACUGACGCUGAGGCUCGAAAGCGUGGGGAGCAAACAGGAUUAGAUACCCCUGUAGUC